CACGUAGGGGGCGAGCGUUGUUCGGAAUUACUGGGCGUAAAGGGCAUGUAGGCGGCUUUGUAAGCCCGGCGUGGAAGCCCACGGCUCAACCGUGGGAUUGCGUUGGGAACUGCGAGGCUUGAAUCAUGGAGAGGGAGCUAGAAUUCCUGGUGUAGGGGUGAAAUCUGUAGAGAUCAGGAAGAAUACCAGUGGCGAAGGCGAGCUCCUGGCCAAUGAUUGACGCUGAGGUGCGAAAGUGUGGGGAUCAAACAGG
rnacentral:rRNA from 1 species